rnacentral:tRNA from 1 species
GGGGGAUUAGCUCAGCUGGGAGAGCGCCUCGCUUGCACCGAGGAGGUCACCGGUUCGAGUCCGGUAUUCUCCA